rnacentral:rRNA from 1 species
UUAUGGUGGGCGACGUCUAAGGAGACUGCCGGUGCAAACCGGAGGAAGGUGGGGAGUGACGUCAAGUCAUCAUGGCCCUUACGGCCUGGGCUACACACGUGCUACAAUGGUCGGUACAAAGGGUUGCCAAGCCGCGAGGUGGAGCUAAUCCCAUAAAACCGAUCGUAGUCCGGAUCGCAGUCUGCAACUCGACUGCGUGAAGUCGGAAUCGCUAGUAAUCGUGAAUCAGAAUGUCACGGUGAAUACGUUCCCGGGCCUU